rnacentral:rRNA from 1 species
CAGUCGCCACGGUAAAACAGAGGGUGCGAGCGUUAAUCGGAUUUACUGGGCGUAAAGCGUGCGUAGGCGGCUUUUUAAGUCGGAUGUGAAAUCCCUGAGCUUAACUUAGGAAUUGCAUUCGAUACUGGGAAGCUAGAGUAUGGGAGAGGAUGGUAGAAUUCCAGGUGUAGCGGUGAAAUGCGUAGAGAUCUGGAGGAAUACCGAUGGCGAAGGCAGCCAUCUGGCCUGAUACUGACGCUGAGGUACGAAAGCAUGGGGAGCAAACAGGAUUAGAUACCCGCGUAGUCCCUGUCUCUUAUAC